AAUGUGAAAAUAUAGAAAAACCCUGGAAUGAGGUGUCUCAACUUUUGACUGCACCCCCCAGACGAUCCCGCAGGGGAAGAAACCAGAUGUGGAGGUCUUGGGCUGGUGACGUUGGAGGCCGUUUAUGGUAGAAAAAAAUACAUCAAAUUAUCUGGCAACAGCUCUGAAGGACAUUCCUGCAGUCAGCAUGUCAAUUGCAUGCUCCCUCAAAAUUCGCUGUUUGUUUCUAGUCCUCCUGGU